AUCUUCGGGGCGAGGUGCAAUUCCUCACCGGCAGUUAAAGCCUGCGAGCCAUUGUGGCUGAUUUGGUGAAAUUCCAAAGCCGACGGUACAGUCCGGAUGGAAGAAGAG
rnacentral:ncRNA from 1 species